UACCUUUCUGUCGGAUAGCUUAUCAGACUGAUGUUGACUGUUGGAUGUCAUGGCAACAACAGUCGGUAGGCUGUCUGACAUUUUGGUAUC
ensembl:miRNA